rnacentral:rRNA from 1 species
UACGUAGGUGGCGAGCGUUGUCCGGAUUUACUGGGCGUAAAGAGCGCGCAGGCGGUCGUUCAAGUCGCGUGUGAAAGCCCCCGGCUCAACUGGGGAGGGUCACGCGAUACUGAUCGACUCGAAGGCAGGAGAGGGUAGUGGAAUUCCCGGUGUAGUGGUGAAAUGCGUAGAUAUCGGGAGGAACACCGGUGGCGAAGGCGGCCAUCUGGACGGUGACUGACGCUGAGACGCGAAAGCGUGGGGAGCAAACAGG